UCAGUGGUUGGGAAGAGUUUUUUUUUUUUUUAUAAAUAAAAUUAUGAUACAAUAUCAACAAAUGUAAAUCUACUUUUGUUUUUUAUCCUUACUUAAUGGUUUUAAGUAUAAUGAUUAUUUUUAAUUAUUUUCCACGUAAUCCAACAGUUUGUCUUGCCCGUCUCAGUUGCAGCGUGUGCACUGACCAACGUUCUAAGGAACACGUUGCUCCCGCUCGAUAUCAGUCAGGAUGUUAUCAAAGAAGCGGAAGGUUGACUCUGAAUGUCGUGUCUUUCAGGAGAGAUGGAAAGAAAAGUAUUUAUUUUGGGAAGUGGGGGGCAAACCUGUAUGUUGUUCGCAACAAGUGGCUGUGCCAAAGGAGUACAACAUCAGACGACAUUACGAGACCCAUCAGGAGAAGUACAACGAGUACACAGGGCAACGCAGGGCACAAAGGCUAAACGAGCUAGCCUCAUCCCUCAGAAAACAGCAAUCCGCUUUCUCGAAAUGCCGAGAGACAUAUGAAGGGGCAGUGAAGGCGAGCUAUGUCAUCGCAUGGGAGAUAGCUAAAGCUUCCAAGCCUUUCUCUGAGGGGGAAUUCGUGAGGACGUGCAUCACAAAGGCAGCCGAGCUAGUGUGUCCAGAAAGUCGACAAGCCCUAGCGAACAUCAGCUUAUCCCGACUUCAGUGACCGAGAGAGUGGAAGAGCUCUCCAGCGACUUGCACAGCCAACUUAAAGAGAAGAUAAAGUCAUUCAUCGCGUUCUCUAUUGCCCUUGACGAGAGCACUGAUGUGACUGAUACGGCCCAGUUGGCGAUAUUUAUUCGCGGAGUGGAUGCUGCCUUGAAUGUCACGGAGGAGUUUGUUUCCGUGGUACCCAUGACAGACACGACUACAGCUAACGACGUGUUCGUUAGCCUUGUCGGGGCCCUUGACACUCUGGAGGUGGACUGGAGUCGCGCCGUCAGUGUGGCUACGGAUGGUGCACCUUCCAUGGUAGGAAGAAAGGCCGGGGUGGUCGUGAAGUUGAGAGAAAAGGUAUGAGAGGCAAACCCAGACCAGGUAUUCUGGAACUUUCACUGUAUUUUACACCAAGAGGCGUUGUGCUGCAAAAGUCUGAAAAUGGAGCAUGUUAUGAGUGUUGUUAUUGCCACUGUCAAUUUUAUCAGGGCCAGAGGGCUUAACCAUCGGCAAUUCGAUGCAUUUUUUUUUGAAAAUGACAUUUACCAUUUACCUAUCACACCGAUGUGCGUUGGUUGAGCCGAGGCGCAGUGCUCAAACGGUUCUACAAAUUACGUAAAGAGAUAGACGAGUUCAUGCAGGCUAAAGGGAAGCCUGUGGAGGAAUUGGACGACCCCGAAUGGAUCAGAGACCUUGCCUUCUUAGUGGAUAUUACCGAACACUUAAACGUCUUGAAUGUUACUAUGCAAGGUCGCAAUAAACUCGUUACCGAGUAUUAUGACAGUGUCCGUUCCUUUCAAAAUAAACUUGCGUUAUGGAAGGCACAGCUCAGCCAGCGCAAUGCAGCCCAUUUCCCAUGUUUAAAAUCUCUGUCUGUCAACCAUCAGAGCAUGGUCAAGUAUGCAAGCUUGCUUUCCGGCCUCAUGCACGAGUUUGACUCACGAUUCACGGUUUUCACUGAACUGGAAAAGGACUUUGCGCUUUUUCGCUCUCCAUUCACGACGGAUGCUUCCGAGGUCCCAGAGGGGAUGCAAAUGGAACUGAUAGACUUGCAAUGCUGUGCGCGGUUGAAAGAUGCGUACGCAUUUACUGGUAUUGAAUCAUUUUACCAGUCUUUGCCACCCGAGUACCCAAUUAUCACUGCCUUUGCAGGUAAAAUCCUCUAUGUUUGGCACAACAUAUUUAUGCGAGCAGGCAUUUUCAGUAAUGAAUUUUAAUAAAUCGAAAGUGCGCAAUCGCCUGACACAUGGACAUCUCAAUGAUGUCAUGAAAAUAGCCACGGCCCAGAGCCUGUCCCCCAAUGUGGACAAGCUGGUGAAAACUAAAAGGCUUCUGGCUUCGACAUGUAAAAUGUAGCUGGCUUCCUCAUGUUUCAUAGUGCAGGGAAGUAAUGAUGGGGAGGAAAUAAAGGAGAUAGGUAUGUGGAAAUAUUUGUGGGAGUUGAUUGACAAAGUUAAUGUGCUAUCAGUUGCUUGUUGUAAUGUUGUAAUAUUUUUUUUAUUAUUAAUUCAUUAUUAAUUAUUAAUAUUUAGUCACCUGACCUGUUUGAGUACUUAACCUUGGUACAUAUUUUGACUUCUUUAGGCCUUGGCUACUUAGCCUGGCCAUCUUUUUAAUUUGCCUAAUUAGGCCUGUGCAUCCAGAUGAUUUUAUGUGCAAGUUGUCAAUACAUUUGAUGAAAGUAA